AAUGAACGCUGGCGGCAUGCCUAACACAUGCAAGUCGAACGAAGGCUUCGGCCUUAGUGGCGCACGGGUGCGUAACGCGUGGGAAUCUGCCCUUGGGUUCGGAAUAACAGUUAGAAAUGACUGCUAAUACCGGAUGAUGUCGUAAGACCAAAGAUUUAUCGCCCAAGGAUGAGCCCGCGUAGGAUUAGCUAGUUGGUGAGGUAAGAGCUCACCAAGGCGACGAUCCUUAGCUGGUCUGAGAGGAUGUUCAGCCACACUGGGACUGAGACACGGCCCAGACUCCUACGGGAGGCAGCAGUGGGGAAUAUUGGACAAUGGGCGAAAGCCUGAUCCAGCAAUGCCGCGUGAGUGAUGAAGGCCUAGGGUUGCAAAGCUCUUUUACCCGGGAUGAUAAUGACAGUACCGGGAGAAUAAGCUCCGGCUAACUUCGUGCCAGCAGCCGCCGUAAAAC
rnacentral:rRNA from 1 species